rnacentral:rRNA from 1 species
UGGGGAAUAUUGGACAAUGGGCGCAAGCCUGAUCCAGCAAUACCGCGUGUGUGAAGAAGGCCUGAGGGUUGUAAAGCACUUUCAAUGGGAAGGACCACCUGCCGGCUAAUACCCGGCAGACAGACAUUACCCAUACAAGAAGCACCGGCUAACUCCGUGCCAGCAGCCGCGGUAAUACGGAGGGUGCAAGCGUUAAUCGGAAUUACUGGGCGUAAAGCGUGCGUAGGCGGUUUGUUCAGUCAGAUGUGAAAGCCCCGGGCUUAACCUGGGAACUGCAUUUGAUACGGACAGACUGGAGUUGAGUAGAGGAAAGUGGAAUUUCAGGUGUAGCGGUGAAAUGCGUAGAGAUCUGAAGGAACACCAGUGGCGAAGGCGGCUUUCUGGACUCAAACUGACGCUG